rnacentral:rRNA from 1 species
UACGUAGGGCGCAAGCGUUGUCCGGAAUUAUUGGGCGUAAAGGGCGCGUAGGCGGCCGCCUAAGUCAGACGUGAAAUCCCUCGGCUCAACCGGGGAACUGCGUCUGAUACUGGGUGGCUUGAAUCCGGGAGAGGGAUGCGGAAUUCCAGGUGUAGCGGUGAAAUGCGUAGAUAUCUGGAGGAACACCGGCGGCGAAGGCGGCAUCCUGGACCGGUAUUGACGCUGAGGCGCGAAAGCCAGGGGAGCAAACGGG